AUUGAACGCUGGCGGAAUGUUUUACACAUGCAAGUCGAACGGCAGCACGGGGCAACCUGGUGGCGAGUGGCGAACGGGUGAGUAAUACAUCGGAACGUGCCCAAUCGUGGGGGAUAACGUAGCGAAAGUUACGCUAAUACCGCAUACGAUCUACGGAUGAAAGCGGGGGAUCGCAAGACCUCGCGCGAAUGGAGCGGCCGAUGUCAGAUUAGGUAGUUGGUGGGGUAAAGGCUCACCAAGCCAACGAUCUGUAGCUGGUCUGAGAGGACGACCAGCCACACUGGAACUGAGACACGGUCCAGACUCCUACGGGAGGCAGCAGUGGGGAAUUUUGGACAAUGGGCGCAAGCCUGAUCCAGCCAUUCCGCGUGCAGGAUGAAGGCCUUCGGUU
rnacentral:rRNA from 1 species